GAGAAAGUACCCUGGAAGGAAAAAAGAAAUACCAUCCUUUGAGAAGACCACUGAGUGGACCCAAGCAGGAUUAAAAAGACCAAAUAAAUAAUCUGGAUAUACAUUAGGAACUUCUGCUUCCAGAAAGAUGGAGACGUGCUUUUCCUUAUUCUUCCUGCUAAGUAAAACUAAAAACUCUGGAUCUUAUAUAUAAAACAAACUCUGAGAGUUUUCAGAGUAAGAUUCUGAAAGUUUUCAGAGUAAGACUCUGAAAGGUAGAAAGAAGAAGGACCACUAGGAAUCUUGCUAAGAUGCAUAGUCAAACAACUGAAAACUAAAGACAAAAAAAUCUUAAAAGCAGAAAGAAAGAAAUGACACUUUACCUAUAGGGGAAAUAAUGAUUCUAGUAAUAGCAAAUUGCUCAUCAGAAAUCAUGGCAGUCAAGGAAGUAGCCCAACAUCCUUCUGCCAACCCAGAAUUCUGUAUCCAGUUCAAAAUAAAAAAGAAAACAGGAGUGGCUACAUUAAUAUCAUAUAAAGUAAACUUCAGAGCAA